CGCGUAGGUGGUUUGUUAAGUUGGAUGUGAAAGCCCCGGGCUCAACCUGGGUGCUGCAUUCCAAACUGGGAAUCUAGAGUGCAGGAGGGGAGAGUGGAAUUCCUAGUGUAGCAGUGAAAUGCGUAGAGAUUAGGAAGAACACCAGUGGCGAAGGCGACUCUCUGGACUGUAACUGACGCUGAGGCUCGAAAGCGUGGGAGCAAACA
rnacentral:rRNA from 1 species